rnacentral:rRNA from 1 species
UACGUAGGGGGGCGAGCGUUGUCCGGAUUUAUUGGGCGUAAAGAGCUCGUAGGCGGUUUGGCAAGUCGGGUGUGAAAACUCCGGGCUCAACUCGGAGACGCCACUCGAUACUGCCAUGACUCGAGUCCGGUAGGGGAGUGCGGAAUUCCUGGUGUAGCGGUGGAAUGCGCAGAUAUCAGGAGGAACACCGAUGGCGAAGGCAGAUCUCUGGGCCGUAACUGACGCUGAGGAGCGAAAGCGUGGGGAGCGAACAGG